rnacentral:SRP_RNA from 1 species
UAUUGGUCCCUUCGCAAUAAUUAACUAUCAAUCUGGUCAGGUCCGGAAGGAAGCAGCCAUAGUAGUGACAUUAUGUGCCGAGGUGCGGCUAAUAGAG